rnacentral:rRNA from 1 species
AUUUGAGAGUUUGAUCCUGGCUCAGGACGAACGCUGGCGGCGUGCCUAAUACAUGCAAGUUGAGCGAUGAAGAUUGGUGCUUGCACCAAUUUGAAGAGCAGCGAACGGGUGAGUAACGCGUGGGGAAUCUGCCUUUGAGCGGGGGACAACAUUUGGAAACGAAUGCUAAUACCGCAUAACAACUUUAAACAUAAGUUUUAAGUUUGAAAGAUGCAAUUGCAUCACUCAAAGAUGAUCCCGCGUUGUAUUAGCUAGUUGGUGAGGUAAAGGCUCACCAAGGCGAUGAUACAUAGCCGACCUGAGAGGGUGAUCGGCCACAUUGGGACUGAGACACGGCCCAAACUCCUACGGGAGGCAGCAGUAGGGAAUCUUCGGCAAUGGACGAAAGUCUGACCGAGCAACGCCGCGUGAGUGAAGAAGGUUUUCGGAUCGUAAAACUCUGUUGGUAGAGAAGAACGUUGGUGAGAGUGGAAAGCUCAUCAAGUGACGGUAACUACCCAGAAAGGGACGGCUAACUACGUGCCAGCAGCCGCGGUAAUACGUAGGUCCCGAGCGUUGUCCGGAUUUAUUGGGCGUAAAGCGAGCGCAGGUGGUUUAUUAAGUCUGGUGUAAAAGGCAGUGGCUCAACCAUUGUAUGCAUUGGAAACUGGUAGACUUGAGUGCAGGAGAGGAGAGUGGAAUUCCAUGUGUAGCGGUGAAAUGCGUAGAUAUAUGGAGGAACACCGGUGGCGAAAGCGGCUCUCUGGCCUGUAACUG